GACUUUUAGAGAGUCCAAUUUUGUUUCUGCACUUUUGCAAAUUGGACUCCAUGAAAGUACAUUACCAUAGCGUUGUGUUGACUUUCUACAGAAUUAUUGUGCGUAUAGAUAAAAAUGGCGAAACUCCCUCCAUAAGUGAAAGUCUUUCUGGUAGAUCUGGGAUUGGAAGGAUAAAAUUAUAAAGAUUCCAGUUCUUGGGUGGUUUUAGAGGCAGCGGUGACUCUCCUGGUUUUGAUCAGGCUCAUCAGUAGAUUUGGGUUAUCCUUCAUCGAAUUCGGGUGACUGCAGUAAAAAAUUGAUGUGGACACAGUUGCCAAUCUGAGUGGUCCACAUUUGUAUGUGUCGUUGUCGGAAGUAUUUCUUUUGGAUACAGUGAAUCUGCUGAGAAUCGUUAUGCAAAUGCAACUAUCUUUUGGACCCUUGAGGGUUCAUCAUUACCCUGAGGUAAUUUCAUACUCAAGAAGAGAGAAGUGAGAAAAAGGUCUCCCACCAACACCAGUGUCUGUCACGGGAAUUGCAUGGUUAUGUCUUUGAGAUGAGACUGGAGCUCUUCUCCUCCCAGUUCAUGAAUGGUGAUUCAGAGGAAGGACAUCUGCAGCCUGAGGACUGAGAGGAAUGAGGAUGGACUCUGAUCCAGAACCACCAGGAUAUUCCUGAUAUCGUGCCAAAUUCUCCUGGAAUUUGGCAUGAAGGACCGGAGCGGAUAAAAAGUCAGCAAAUGCAUCCUCCUCCCAGGGAAUUCUGAAAUUCUCUAGAAGCAGGGCUGUGGACCUGGACUUGCAAGCCAAGCAGGGAGUCAUCUGGGAUUCUCUGCUGAUCCCACUGAGCAGCAUCUCCGUCCUCUGCAUUGUCCUCCGGGAGCAGGAUGCAGAAGGGUAGGUCUCCUUGCACCCACUUCCUCUUUCCCUGAAGUAGAAGCUGGUGAACAUGGGCAGAAUAACGGGAAACGUUUGUGUCAUUACCAGGGUCUUCUACCUGAGAUCUGAGAGCCAUGCAGAGUGCAUGGAAGGAACAAUUCCUCUGGUCCUGUUAUCUUGCAGAAACCCAGGAUUGUCUUGAGAUGCUCCAUUUCUGUCUUGAGCUUGGCCGUGAGAUUUUAAAUUUGCUAACCAGCUCUGCCACGCGACCAGUGCUGGCUUCGUGAAAGAAGUAAUAAAAGGAUCUGUGAGGCAGUGUCCCGGAAAAAAUUCAUGAAGAGGGACUUUGAAGACAUUCAACACAUCACUGUGGAUGAAGCUCAGAAUUUCCACACUGAAAAUGGGGACUUAUAUGGGAAGGCAAAAGCCGUCACUCAGAGGGAAAAGGAAGUCCAGAAAUUCUCUGGAACUUUCUGAACCAUUUUCAGACCAGCCACUUGGAUGUUAGCGGUCUCCCUCCUCUUUCAUCCCAGUAGCUAAGAGCUCACCAGAGUGAUCCCCAAUGCAGAUGAAGUCGCCCAAUACCUACCAGAAGUGAUGAAGGUCAUUAGAAGAAAACCACCAUGCAACAUCCCCCAUGGGUCCUUGGAGGUGCUUAUGAAAGCCGAACAACUUCAGGGUUCUAAGGAACUAUGCCAAUUGAGAGAGAGAUUAGAAAUGUGAGCCACUGCAUUUGCAUUUUUUCCUGAAUUCUUGAAAUUUGUCUUUGCUCUAUUGAUUCAGGACAUGGAAGAUUCCCGAGAUAAUUCAGUCACUGAAUUAUCUCAAGCAUUUUGGCAGAACAAAGAGCACUGGUAUGGAUAUGUAAGGUACUUCAGUUGCCCUUUUUCAGAGAAAUUUUAGACCAAGAGAAAGCACACAUACACACCUCUUUUUUUUUUUUUUCUGGAUUUCAACAGGAGAUUGUAUUAUGGAACAGAAUCAGAUUCUACAGGUGUGUAUAAGCUCCUAAGGAACAGGAAUAGGAAAGAAAGUCUUUUAAAAUCUACAAGUCUUCUGGGGAUGUCACUUCGUGGUAGGUUCUUACCAAGCAUGCCUCUGGUCCUGGGUUAGACUCACGUGGACACAUCCCAACAUCAAUAGCCUUGAAAUGACGAAUUCUCAUCUCAGUUCUACUUACUAAUGUAUAACAUAGCUACUGAAGUAUUAAUUCGAUCUUUUUUUUUUUUUACCAUUUUUAUUAAGAAUUUUUCAUUUGUUAUUUUUAGUUGUAUA